rnacentral:lncRNA from 1 species
GGAGAAAGGCAGGGGAACAUUUAGCCUGGAGAAGGCUCAGGGACAACAGAAGAGAGGAGUCAUCGGGAAGAGGGAUGAGUCGUGCUUGACUCGGCUCAAUUGGGCUGAACCAGGAGCGGUGGGAUACACUGCAAAGAUACAGGCUUAGGCCUCACGUCAGGGAAAACGUCCUCAAAAUGAGAGCUCUCCCAAGUGGAAUGAAUGGGCUGCCUCGGAAAGUACAGAGCUCUCGUUCUUUGCGGUUUUCCUAGAGGAGGCUGCUGGCUGACCAGGAAGGGAAUCUCAGCACGAUGUCCAAUGGCACUCGAUACACCCGGGGCCCCAGCUCGGGCAUCUUUAGCAGCGGCUACUUCCUGGCAUUUUCUGAUGGCAGCCCAGUGCGGGGUGGGGAUGAGAUCAGGGCCAGAACAGGCAGAGGCGGGCACAAGCCCGGGUAACUGGGGGUGGGGCACAGUGGGACAGAGUCUGGUGCGUCGUGACAUCCCAGGUCCGACCCCCCGGCGGGAGUGUCCGGCCCCCAGCUUCCCCGAAGCAGAAAUGACCAAGCCUUGGCGCUGCCCUGCUUCUCCCUGGGGACCUACCCGGCACCCUCCCAGGCUGAAGUUCCGGCCGUCCCCCUACAGUGGGACCCCUCUCCCCAACCUCAACAGGCUGCCCCUCCUCUUCCCAAGAUGCUCUGCUCCCGGCUCAGUCACGGGUAUCUCGCGCUGGAGCUGGGGGUGGGAAUGGGGGUGGGGACCGAGUAAAGCGGAAGUAUCCCUGGGGAGGUGGAGGUGGCAGGGACGCCUCCCUGCCCGACUGAGGCUGGGGUGGCCCCAGGAGCCCUCCCUCCCACUCUCUCCGUCCCGGCCCCCUCCCCCACCUCCCCGCUCCCCUCCAGCCCGGGGCCAGACAGGCAGCAGGACAGCAGACAGCGCCAGGGAGCCGCCAGGGUUCGUACUGGUCACUGCAGGCGCGGGACGACUCCUCGGUCAGUGUGGGCGCCACUGCAAGGCAAGGGGCAAGGGGCAACCAGGGUUGUCGGGGCGUCCGGGACCUAGAAGUCUCCUACUCCAACCCGCAGAGUCCCGGGAAUCUUCCCUCCAACAAGAGGGCCCACUUCGGCUUGGGGAAGCCGACCAUUCCCUGAGUCAGCCCACCCAGCUGUUGGACAGCUCUCUUUCUUCUCUUGGUGUUCCAAGUCUACCUCCAGGCCACUGUCCUCCAGUUCUGCCCUGGGGGGUCAGGCAGAACAAGUCUGAACUCUCUUGCCAAAACAGAUUUGGUCAGGGGACCUGGGUUUUUGUCCUGCUCUGCUAUUAUGGUUACCUUUAUAACUCUGGGCAAAUCACUUUAACCUCUCUGGGCCUCAGUUUCCCAGUUGUAAGAUCAAGGGUUUUGAUGAAACAAUCCCCCAAAUUCUCUCCAGUUCAGAACCCUAAAAUUCUAGCAAUGAUUAGAUCCAGGGCCCCUGGAACUUUAGGGGGUGGGAAUGGGGUCAGGUCUGAGUUUUGAGGAGGAUCUCAGAUGGGUACUGAGAAGGCUCCAGGGUUCA